AACGAACGCUGGCGGCAUGCCUAACACAUGCAAGUCGAACGAGACCUUCGGGUCUAGUGGCGCACGGGUGCGUAACGCGUGGGAACCUGCCCUUAGGUUCGGAAUAACUCCCCGAAAGGGGUGCUAAUACCGGAUAAUGUCUUCGGACCAAAGAUUUAUCGCCUUUGGAUGGGCCCGCGUUGGAUUAGCUAGUUGGUAGGGUAAAAGCCUACCAAGGCGACGAUCCAUAGCUGGUCUGAGAGGAUGAUCAGCCACACUGGGACUGCGACACGGCCCAGAAUCCUACGGGAGGCAGCAGUGGGGAAUAUUGGACAAUGGGCGAAAGCCUGAUCCAGCAAUGCCGCGUGAGUGAUGAAGGCCUUAGGGUUGUAAAGCUCUUUUGCCCGGGAUGAUAAUGACAGUACCGGGAGAAUAAGCUCCGGCUAACUCCGUG
rnacentral:rRNA from 1 species